CAUCCUUCAAAGAUAUUCAGGUUUAGUUUUUAGUGACGUGUCGUGAUAAACGUUUCUAGGUGAGCGUGUUAAUGCUGAAACAUCUAAAGCAGCUCUGUGUGAUCAUUCAGUGGUGUGUGAACCAACACCGCAUGGAGACAACACUAACACCGACACACGACACGACACAGGUGACAUUUCUUAUAGCUUUAUAAAUCAUAAUAAAUACUGUGCUGAUAACGGUAUUGAUUAAUGAUCAGAUCUCUACAUCGGACAGUGAUCGGUUUGGGAUCGGCUUUGGGUUUGUGCGCACUUCUGAUUUUCUGUCUCACUUAUUUCUUACUGAGGAGAAGAAAAGGUGAUAAAAUGAAUUCUUCAGAAAAGAAGAAAUCACAUUUUGACCCUUUGACUUAUGCAGCAUUGCAGAGAAGUGAAUUUUACUUGUCAGACAAUUUGGUGUACUCCGAAGUGAUGUAUAUGAAACUGUAAUAUAUUAAAUAACUGAUACUACUACUACUACUA